GUGCCAGCAGCCGCGGUAAUACGUAGGGGGCAAGCGUUGUCCGGAAUUAUUGGGCGUAAAGCGCGCGCAGGCGGUUAAUUAAGUUGGGUGUUUAAGCCCGGGGCUCAACCCCGGUUCGCAUCCAAAACUGGUUGACUUGAGUGUAGGAGAGGAAAGUGGAAUUCCACGUGUAGCGGUGAAAUGCGUAGAGAUGUGGAGGAACACCAGUGGCGAAGGCGACUUUCUGGCCUAUAACUGACGCUGAGGCGCGAAAGCGUGGGGAGCAAACAGGAUUAGAAACCCUCGUAGUCC
rnacentral:rRNA from 1 species